AUUGAACGCUGGCGGCAGGCCUAACACAUGCAAGUCGAGCGGCAGCGGAAAGUAGCUUGCUACUUUGCCGGCGAGCGGCGGACGGGUGAGUAAUGUCUGGGAAACUGCCUGAUGGAGGGGGAUAACUUCUGGAAACGGUAGCUAAUACCGCAUAACGUCGCAAGACCAAAGAGGGGGCCCUUCGGGCCUCCUGCCAUCAGAUGUGCCCAGAUGGGAUUAGCUAGUAGGUGGGGUAACGGCUCACCUAGGCGACGAUCCCUAGCUGGUCUGAGAGGAUGACCAGCCACACUGGAACUCAGACACGGUCCAGACUCCUACGGGAGGCAGCAGUGGGGAAUAUUGCACAAUGGGCGCAAGCCUGAUGCAGCCAUGCCGCGUGCAUGAAGAAGGCCUUCGGGUUGUAAAGUACUUUCAGCGGGGAGGAAGGUGUUGAGGUUAAUAACCUCAGCAAUUGACGUUACCCGCAGAAGAAGCACCGGCUAACUCCGUGCCAGCCGCCGCAGUAAGAC
rnacentral:rRNA from 1 species